rnacentral:lncRNA from 1 species
GCCAAUUAGCUAAAGAAAACUUGCCAAAAGUAUAUCAUAUAGACCACAUUGCAAGAAAGAAUGGCUUGCAUUGUUCCAAUCCUAAUACUUUCCAUAUUCAGCAAGUUAAUUUCAGUAUCGAGUACCAAACGAGGUUCUGCAUAUGUUAUAUAAUUCCAGUAUAACUGCGUUUCUUGCAUUUCAAGUCAACCCAUUGAAAAGAAGUUUACAAUCAAUAAAGGAUUGUUUCGGUAAUUUGCUAACACCGAUAUAUUUUCAUUAGAGGGCAAGCCUUCGUAGAACAGUAAAGUUGCUGCCUUGUGACCUUGAAGGUCACGAGUCCAAAGCCUAAAACAACCUCCCCAUCUCCUCUUGCGGAGAU